rnacentral:rRNA from 1 species
UGGGGAAUAUUGCACAAUGGGCGAAAGCCUGAUGCAGCGGCGCCGCGUGAGGGAUGACGGCCUUCGGGUUGUAAACCUCUUUCAGUAGGGACGAAGCGCAAGUGACGGUACCUGCAGAAGAAGCACCGGCUAACUACGUGCCAGCAGCCGCGGUAAUACGUAGGGUGCGAGCGUUGUCCGGAAUUACUGGGCGUAAAGAGCUCGUAGGCGGUUUGUCACGUUGUCUGUGAAAUCCUAGGGCUUAACCCUGGACGUGCAGGCGAUACGGGCUGACUUGAGUACUACAGGGGAGACUGGAAUUUCUGGUGUAGCGGUGGAAUGCACAGAUAUCAGGAAGAACACCGAUGGCGAAGGCAGGUCUCUGGGUAGUAACUGACGCUGAGGAGCGAAAGCAUGGGUAGCGAACAGG